rnacentral:misc_RNA from 1 species
CUGCCCUCAAGCCCGGCUUGUGUGUUGGGCCUUCGUCCCCCUACCCGGGGGGACGGGCCCGAAAGGCAGUGGCGGCACCGCGUCCGGUCCUCGAGUGUAUGGGGCUCUGUCACUCACUCUGUAGGCCCGGCCGGCGCCCGCCGACCCCCCGUCUUCCUUCUUUUUUCA